rnacentral:rRNA from 1 species
GUAGGGAAUAUUGGACAAUGGGGGCAACCCUGAUCCAGCAAUGCCGCGUGAGUGAUGAAGGCCUUAGGGUUGUAAAGCUCUUUUACCCGGGAUGAUAAUGACAGUACCGGGAGAAUAAGCUCCGGCUAACUCCGUGCCAGCAGCCGCGGUAAUACGGAGGGAGCUAGCGUUGUUCGGAAUUACUGGGCGUAAAGCGCGCGUAGGCGGCUGUUUAAGUCAGAGGUGAAAGCCUGGAGCUCAACUCCAGAACUGCCUUUGAGACUGGACAGCUAGAAUCCUGGAGAGGUGAGUGGAAUUCCGAGUGUAGAGGUGAAAUUCGUAGAUAUUCGGAAGAACACCAGUGGCGAAGGCGGCUCACUGGACAGGUAUUGACGCUGAGGUGCGAAAGCGUGGGGAGCAAACAGGAUUAGAUACCCUAGUAGUCC